rnacentral:rRNA from 1 species
CAGUAGCCGCGGGAAUACGGAGGGGGCUAGCGUUGUUCGGAAUUACUGGGCGUAAAGCGCACGUAGGCGGCUUUGUAAGUUAGAGGUGAAAGCCCGGAGCUCAACUCCAGAAUUGCCUUUAAGACUGCAGAGCUAGCAGGUGAGAGAGGUGAGUGGAAUUCCGAGUGUAGAGGUGAAAUUCGUAGAUAUUCGGAAGAACACCAGUGGCGAAGGCGGCUCACUGGCUCAUACUGGACGCUGAGGUGCGAAAGCGUGGGGAGCAAACAGGAUUAGAUACCCGGGUAGUCCCUGUCUCUUAUAC